GAGCCCAGUUUCCAGCAAGUAAAUCCCCACCUGCCAGAUGUGGACAAACAACAGCUGAUGGAAGAAAUAUUGUGAACCACAGACCUGUGACUGUUUGCCAUCCCAACAUAAUGAGCAGAUAGAGGUUGAAAUGUGAUGUGUGCACAGAACACUGCUUAUUGACUACCAGUAUUAGUUAAUUUAUGGCUCUCUUUGGCCUGGUGGCAGAGCUGCACCACCUUCCUCUUCUGCAUCCAGUCGAGGUCCUCCAGCAGGAU